UUAUACUAAUUCCUCAGCUUGUUUGAUUUUUUCAGAACUUUUGGAGUUACAAAAGUAUAUGUUCAUUACAUAUUACUAUAGACUAUUCUAUUCUAGAAGUAUUAUGUUUUUGCUUGCAUAGUUUGCUUGGUUUGAUGAUGCUAUGGAUUGUACCGGGGUAUAAUCUAUAGAGAAGUUAGAAUACAAUAACUAUUAUUGAAUAAUGAAAUAUUAAUCAAUUUACAACAGCACCUAAGUAUUUGAUAUGUUGCUUAUAUUAACGGAUCUCUUGAAGUUUUGUGGAGUUUGAUGUGAUUGAAGCUUUGAAGUUUUGGGUGUUAUCGCAAUGGACAGUGGAAUAAGGAGCGGAAAAGGCUAAGCUUGGGGAUUCCCAAGGAACCCAAGGUAAUAUUGUAGGAAUACUCAAGUGUCCAAUCUUGGGGAUGCCCUCAAAGGGACCCCCUCUUUCGUCUCAAUCCAUCGGUAUGUCACUUGAAGCUACAUUUUUAUUCAUUACAUGAUGUGGGUUUUCCUUGGAGCGUCGUUUGCUUUAGUUUGGUUUUUAUUUUUUUAGUUUGCCAUAAUCAUUUUUUAGACACACCAACCUGAGAGAGAUACUCAUUUUUAUAGAAUACUCUUUGUGCUUCACUUACAUCUUUUAAGUUAAACAAUUGCUCUAGUACUUCACUUAUAUCUUUUUGAGCACGGUAGCGUGUAGAUUUUAUAGAAAUAUUUGAACUCUUGUUCCUCACUUAUAUUUAUUUGAGAGUUAAUAAACAGUGACUGUAAUUUUCAUGAGUCAUAAAGCUAGUCCAAAAAUAAUAGGUAUAUAAUGAAUGAUAAUCAAAACCAUCAUGUAGCACAUAAAGAGAAAUUGUGGAUUAAUGAUAUUGAUGUGGUAAUAUGAAAAGCUGUGAGUGCGUCAUUGUUGAUUCGUAGAAGUUGCGGUAUUGGGAGGUGUUAAUUCCUUGUUUCUCUGGAUAUUGAAAAGGCAUGACGGGUAUGUUUGAGCAUUUCUAUUCCUCCUUGAAAUACUAGUGUUGUUUUGAGUCGGAGUCGCCGAUGGUUAACUCCUCCCAAACCUCUCCCAGGGGCAUGCCGGUAGUGCUGUGAUUUUUGAUAAAACUGAUAAAACUUUCCAAUAAAUAUAUGAGUUCUUUAUGACUAAUGUGAAACCAUGGACAUACACAAUCUUACCUCCUCAUAUUUUGCUAGCCUCUUUGGUAUCGUGCAUUGGCUGUUCUCACGUCAAGAAUCAGUGUGAACUUCACCGAUGCAUCCAAACCCGCGGCAUGAGAUGCUUUGUCACACACAAACCUUUAUUUAUCUUCAUCAAAACAAACACCAUACCUACCUAUCAUGGCAUUUCCAUAGCCAUUCGGAGAUAUAUUGCCAUGCAAAUCCCAUCGUCAUAUGACUAGUUCAUUCAUCAUCAUAUUGCUUUGCAUGAUCAUAUAGAGCUGACCUAGCAUUUGUGGCAAAGCCACCAUUCAUUAUAUUGUUGAUACAUGUCAUGCAAGAUCAUUGCACAUCCUGGUAUAUUGCCAGAGGCAUUCAUAUUGAGUCAUAUCGAUCUUUCAUGAUUUGUAAGUGAAUAAAAGUGUGAUGAUCAUCAUUAUUAGAGCAUUGUCCUAGUGAGGAAAAAAUGAUGGACUAUGAUUCCUCCACAAGUUGGGAAGAGACUCCAGACGAAAAAUGAAAAUGGGGGAGGACAAAUGAGCCCAACAUAAAAAACGAUGAAUGAGAUAAAAAGAGAGAAGGGGCUUUGCUACCAUCCUUUACCACACUUGUACCUCAAAGUGACACCAUGUUCCUCAAAUAGAAAGUCUGAUGAUAUGUCAUUUUUAUAUACUAGUGGGAAUCAUAUUAUCAUUAUUAUAAAUUUGGCUUGCAUAUUUCGAUGACGGGAUUCCUCAAAUGUCCGGGGUCUUCAUGAGCAAACAAGCUUGAUGCACACCCCACUUAGCUUGGUUUGAGCUUCCAUACACUUAUACUUCUAGUGCAUCAUUUGCAUGGCAAUCCAUACUCCUCGCAUUGACAUCUACCGAUGGUUAUCUCCAUAGGUCGUUGGUAUGCCUAGUUGAUGCGAUGCUAUCUUACCACGUUUGCCCAUUUGAUAUGUACCAUCAUAUUCUAUUCCACCAUAUGCUAUGUCCAUGGCUCAUGCUCAAAUACUGCAUGAAGAACAAAGAGUUGAUUCAAUUGGAAAAGUAUGAUCCAAUUGCCUGACUUGGACAUCGUGGUGCUUAACAUUUGUAUUAAUGUGGUGAAGACAGAUCCAUGCUUUGCUAAUAUGAAAUAUUAAUGGGUGUAAACAUUCUUUGUGGAUCGUAUACUUUGAAAGAUCGAUGAUUUUGUUGCUUGUGCUUAUAAGUAUUACCAUGUUGAUGUUUGUUAAUUCAUCGUUUCUUAAUGAGCAUACAUGCAAAAUUGUCGGUGUUUACUCCCAACAUAUGCAUGUGUAGGCUAAAGAUGGUGGGAACCGAAGUGACACCGGUGAGUGCUGGGGACGAGGUUGGUACAAGCAUGGAACGCACGAUGUACCCAGGUUCAGGGCUCUCCGUAGAGAUAACACCCCUAAUCCUGCCAGAGUGUAUAAUGCACCAAUGAAGUUACAAUGUGCUCCUGGAGCUGUUCUACGGAGGAGGAAGAAGGAGCAGCCGGCUCGCGUCUACCUCUCCUGUAUGAGUGUGUGUAUGAAGGAUUGACUAACCCUCUGCAUGGAGGGGGUCGGGGGGUUUUAUAGACAAACCCACCGACCUACAAUAAGGAUAAAAGUACAUGAGUGGGGCCCGGCUGGCAGCCUCGCUGGCUGGCCAGGGGGCCCACGAGGGCCUUGUCUUGUCGCAGGAGGGGCCGACCGGAUGCGAGGUCCCAUCUGGCUAUGGGACCCGCCGGCUAGCCAGUAAGGCUCUCGCGUAAGGCCUAUGUAGGACACUUGUAGUACGUCCGGCGUCGUCUUGCGAGAUUCGUCAUGGGGUGCCAGUACGACCGUCUCCAUUGUUCCCACGCCAAGUGUGAUAAUGGAGUGGGAGUUUGACGAGCCAACACUAUGCAGGAUGAUGUAUCGGAGCCGGAGUAGGUCGCCUUCCCUUCACCACCUCGGUGCAGGACUUUGCCGACCGCUUCCAGACGUUGGCAUGCCAUGCGCCUGACGUCACGGCUCGCCAACGCGCUGAGCUCUUCGUCGGCGGCCUUCCCGACCACAUCCGCAUCGACGUCGAGAUGCGCGACCCCCAGGACCUGCAGACGACCAUGUAUUACGCACGCGCGUACGAGCAGCGCGCCAACGCCCUGCAGCAGGCGUUCCCGGACCGCGGCACGCGUCCCCCGACCCGCCCCGCCCCGGCGGCCGCCACCCCGACACGCCCCGCCCUGCCGGCNCCGCUACUGCGGCUGCCCCCGCGCCGACACGCACCUUCCGGUGCUUGACGUCGGCCGAGCAGCUCGAGUGGCGCCGCAAGGGCCUGUGCUUCAACUACGACGAGCCGUAUGCGCCGGGUCAUACGUGCGCCCGCCUGUUCUACUUGGAGACCGUCGACGACGCGGAGGUGGAGGCCCUCACCGCGGAGCUCGACGCCACCACACUCCGAGGCCGGCGUCAUGACCUACGGGCCGGUCGACGCGACCGCCUUUGUCGUCUCCCUUCAUGCCAUGGCUGGCAUCAAGACGGCAAAGACGAUGCUGCUUCCGGUGACGAUCAACGGGGAGCGUCUCACCGCGCUCGUGGACACGGGUUCGACGCACAACUUCCUGUCCGGGGACGCCAUGCGCCGCCUCGCACUCCAACCGGCGGGCUCGUAGAAGUUCAGCGUCACCGUCGCCAACGGGGACCGCCUUGCUUGCCAGGGGGUGGCGCGGCAGGUUCCCGUCCUCAUCGGCGACGAGCCGUUCUCCAUUGACUGCGUCGGCAUCGACCUGGGCUGCUACGACUUCAUCCUCGGCGUCGACUUCCUGUCCACUCUCGGCCCCAUCCUUUGGGACCUCGAUGUGCUGUCCCUCAUCUUCUGGCGCGAGGGCGGCCGUCGCGUUCAGUGGACAGGCAUCGGCGGCUCCGGCGCCGUGACUCCGCAGCUCCAGUUGAUGGCGGCCGCACUGGACGAGGCGCAUCCCCUCCUGGCCGACCUCCUGCAGCAGCACAGCGACAUCUUCGACGAGCCACAGGGCCUCCCUCCCGCGCGGCCCUGUGACCACCGCAUCCACCUGCUGCCGGACACGGCACCUGUAGCCGUGCGUCCAUACCGGUACCCUCAGCUGCAGAAAGACGAGCCCGAGCGUCAGGUGGCGGUCAUGCUCGCGCAGGGCAUCAUCCGGAUUUCGACAUCGCCGUCCUCCGCCCCGGUGCUCCUUGUGCACAAGCCCGACGGCACAUGGCGCUUCUGCAUCGACUACCGUGCCCUCAACGCCCUGACGUCCAAGGACAAGUUCCCCAUCCCCGUCGUGGAUGAGCUCUUAGACGAGCUACACGGAGCGCGCUCCUUCACCAAGCUCGACCUUCGCUCGGGCUACCAUCAGGUGCGCAUGCACCCUGACGACAUCGAGAAGACGGCGUUCCGCACUCACCAUGGCCACUUCGAGUUCCUGGUGAUGCCGUUCGGCCUCUCCAACGCGGCGGCGACCUUCCAGGCCCUGAUGAACGACGUGCUCAGCCCAUACUUGCGCCGCUUUGUGCUUGUUUUCUUUGAUGACAUUCUUAUCUACAGUGCAUCUUGGGCGGAGCACCUACAACACGUGGCCAUCAUCUUCAACAAGCUUCGAGCGCAUCGUCUUCACCUCAAGCGCUCGAAGUGCUCGUUCGGCACGACCUCCGUCGCGUACCUGGGGCACGUUAUCUCGGCGGACGGGGUAGCGAUGGACGCGGACAAGGUCGCCGCCGUCGCCGCGUGGCCGAUCCCGCCGUCGCCGCGUGGCCGAUCCCGCCGUCACCGUGGGCGCUCCGCGGCUUCUUGGGCCUCGCCGGCUACUACCGGAAGUACAUCCGGGACUUCGGCCUCAUCGCCGCGCCACUGACGCGUCUCCUUCGACGGGACGCCUUCUCCUGGGACGAGGAGGCGACUACGGCAUUCGAGGCUCUCCAGCGGGCGCUCACGACGGGACCCGUCCUCCAGAUGCCGGACUUUGAUAUGCCGUUCAUGGUGGACUACGACGCCUCUGGCAUCGGCUUCGGCGCCGUCCUCCACCAGGGCGAGGGACCGCUCGCCUUCUUCAGCCGCCCCUUCGCCGCUCGCCAUCACAAGCUCGUGGCCUACGAGCGCGAGCUUAUUGGGCUGGUUCAGGCGGUGCGCCACUGGCGGCCUUAUCUUUGGGGCCGGUCAUUCCGUGUGCGCACGGACCACCAUAGCCUCAAGUUAUUGUUGGACCAGCGCCUCUCCACAGUUCCGCAGCACCAGUGGAUCAGCAAGCUCUUCGGCUUCGACUUCACCGUCGAGUACCGCCCCGGCCGUCUCAACACGGUCGCCGACGCCUUGUCCCGCCGCGACACUGAGGAUGUCGCGGACGACGUCGCCAUGGCUGGCACUAUCAUGUGCAUCCGCUCCGGGCCAUCUUUCGCCUUCAUCGACGACAUUCACCAGGCAACUUCGAUGGCCGUGGACGCGCAGGGCCUGCGCCAGCGCCUUGACGCCGGCGAGCUGGACGCGCCCUGGCGCUUGGACGAGGGGCUGCUCCUACAUGGCCGCCGCAUCUUCGUGCCCGACCAUGGCGACCUGCGCCACCAGGUCCUGACCUUGGCGCACUCUGCAGGGCACGAGGGCGUGCAGAAGGCUCUCCAUCGUCUCCGUGUUGAUUUUUACAUCCCCGGUGAUGGCGCGAUGGUCCGCGACUGGGUGCGGUCGUGCGUGACGUGCCAGCGGAACAAGACGGAGACACUACGACCUGCGGGUCUACUGCAGCCGCUGGACGUACCCUCCCAGGUGUGGGCGGAUAUUUCCAUGGACUUCAUCGAGGGCCUUCCCAAGGUGGGCGGCAAGUCCGUCAUCCUCACGGUGGUUGACCGCUUCUCCAAGUACGCGCACUUCAUCGCCCUGGGUCAUCCAUAUACAGCCGCCUCCGUGGCGCGGGCCUUCUUCGACGGCAUCGUCCGCCUCCAUGGUUUUCCGUCGUCCAUCGUCAGCGAUCGUGAUCCCGUAUUCACGGGACAUGUCUGGCGGGAUCUCUUUCGACUGGCGGGUGUGAGGCUCCGCAUGAGCACGGCGUUCCACCCUGAGACAGACGGCCAAUCCGAGGUGGUCAACAAGGUGAUCGCCAUGUACCUGCGCUGUGUUACUGGUGAUCGUCCACGAGCUUGGGUGGACUGGUUGGCGUGGGCGGAGUACUGCUACGACACCUCCUAUCACUCCGCCCUGCGCACCACGCCUUUCGAGGUGGUCUACGGGCGCCCACCUCCGGCGAUGCUCCCUUACGAGCCUGGGACGGCUUGGUCCGAGAUGGCGGGCGACUUACUCCGCACCCGCGAUGACAUUCUGGCUGAGGCACGCCAGCGUCUUCUCCAAGCACAACAGCUGGCUCGGAAGUACUACGAUGCUCAUCAUCGCGAGGCGGAGUUCGCGGUGGGCGAUUGGGUGUGGCUGCGCCUCCUCCACAGGACCACGCAGUCUCUGGACCCGCGCUCCAAGCGCAAAUUGGGACCUCGCUACGCCGGUCCAUUUCGUGUGCUGGAGCGUGUCGGCACACUCGCAUACCGCUUGGAGCUACCAGCUGGUUCUCGCCUCCACGACGUCUUCCAUGUCGGCUUACUGAAGGCCUACCGUAGGGACCCUCCAUCAGCGACGCUGACCCUUCCUCCUACUUCAGAUGGCCGCCUCCUUCCAGCUUCCACACAGGUGGCGAAGGUGCUGCGGGCGCAGCAGCGUCGCGGCGUCUGGCAUGUCUUGGUACAGUGGACCGGCCUGCCAGAGGAGGAAGCGACUUGGGAGAAGCUCGACGAUUUCCGCCAACAGUUUCCAGAUGUUCAGCUCGAGGACGAGCUGUUUGAGAAGGCGGGGAGAGAUGUUAUGACCGGUACAACGUACCAACGGAGGAGGCCCAAUGGGCAGGGUUAAUUACGGGCUUAGCCCAAGUUAUUUUGCCUAUCUUAGAGUCCAAGUUAUCUAGGGUUUAGUGGAGGUUGUCCUCCUAUAUAAACACAUGUACCCCUUCGAUAUUAAGCAGACAAUAAACAGUAUAUUCUGUUGUCGUCUCCCUCAGGAGACGGGAGCCCCAAACCCUAGCCGCCUCUCUCUCUCUUUCUCACGCCGCGACGGCGCCCAACCGUCGGCGCCGGCGUCCCCAACCUCGCAGCCCGCACUUUCACCCCUACAACCUACGUCCGAGACCUGGUAGAACCCUAGCCUCUACCACUAAGCUAGUGGCCAUGGUUGCCUGGUUUCUAUCAAUGGGUUUUGCUCAUUGUAUGUAAAAUUAUCUUUUGUGAAUAAAUAUACCAGCUCUUUGUAACACCCGGAUGUUUUGUAUAAUACAAGGACAGUAACCUUUUGUCUCAAGCAAGUUCGGGUGGGCUAAAUAUGAAAACCGAUAGAACAUAUGGAAACCAAUAAAAGAAAUCUAUCAGGUUUCAUAUCCGUAAGAGUGUUUAGUUUUACUUUCGCUCGCCAAGCCUAUCAUAACUUUCCUCUUUUACUCAGGCUUGGGAGGGCUAUGGCUUAAAAGACAUAGGCGGAGUUAGACUUUUCUAUUUGUUACAACUCAUAACAAAUUUAUAAGAGUUUUAUUCCAUGGUUUGUUUUAUUUUUCCUUCUACAGCUGGCCAUUGACACUUGGAAAAUCUUAUUGUUGGUCUGGAUGAUCCAUUCUCGGAUCUGUACACAUGGUGUCGCUUUGUUGGGAAGCGACAAAACACAUAAUGUUUACCAUUUUAUUGGACUCACCACUUGCUACAUAUCUGCCUCCGCACUGAAUUUUUGCUCAUAGCAUUCAUGAUUUGGAUUUCUGUGAACGAUUUUGGAAGAGAACAUAUUUUUGACAAAUGAUGUGUGAUGCAUAGUUCUGCGCACCUAUCCCUUACUUAGAAAAAUAAAUAGAAGUGCCUGCUUUUGCAUGCACUGUCGAGUGUGUAUAGAUGGCAGAAUAGUUGUAGGCUUGCCUUCUACUAAUCUGUUUCAUUUACACUGUAGGUGGCACAUCUAUAAGUACCCAGAUUAUGGCAUGCUGAUAUUACGGUGAUAUUAAUACAUUGGAAAAUCUGGAAAGAACGCAAUGUCAGGAUAUUAUUAACACAGAGUUUGUUGUUGACAGGGUGUUGGAAUCUGUCAUUGAAGAUGUUCAAUCAUGGAGAGCUGUAGGCUGCUUGUCUUCUUUAUGAAUCAUGUUCCUGUUGUUUUCUCCUUGCUGGGAGUGUAUUAGGAGAGUCGUGUAAUCAGAUGCUCUGUGAGGCUAUGUAUAGAGUUUCAGCUACGUUUUCUUGAGUGGCAACCAUGUAAUUUCCAAACUCAUUUUCUUAGAGAUGGUCCUGUACAUUCGUCUCCCAAUUUUUUAAAUAAAGUUCAGCCUCAGGACCUUCGAGAUAAGCUUAGCCCCCAUGUUAAUGAAGUAAUGUUGUGUUCUUAUGUUAUGGUUACUGUCAAAAUUUCAGUUGGCACUGAAAUAGAAAAUUAUCCAAUAAUUAUGAUGUAAUUCCGGUUAUGAUACCUCAAAAAUAUAUUGUAAAAUGAUAUUUUUACUGCAUCAAAUCCAUGGUGCCUCACGGAAGUCUAGAAAAACUCGGCGAAAAGUAGAGAAAAAACAGAACAAUAGCUGCUUGGCCAAACGUGGCAGGGCCCUCAAAUGGAGAAGCACCCUCGCACCAGACCGACCGGGUGAGCGGAUGAAGGAUGACAUCGACUAGGGAGUCGCAUCUAUCUGUCACAUCCCCUGGAUUCCCUAUUAGGAUUUAGCAAGUUGUACUCAUGUCUUCUUUCAUUGCAUUCAAGAAAUGGAAAUGAACUCAAAGAAAAUGGGGGAAUCAAAGCAAAACCAUAGCCA
rnacentral:lncRNA from 1 species